rnacentral:rRNA from 1 species
AUUGAACGCUGGCGGCAUGCCUUACACAUGCAAGUCGAACGGCAGCACGGGUGCUUGCACCUGGUGGCGAGUGGCGAACGGGUGAGUAAUACAUCGGAACAUGUCCUGUAGUGGGGGAUAGCCCGGCGAAAGCCGGAUUAAUACCGCAUACGAUCUACGGAUGAAAGCGGGGGACCUUCAGGCCUCGCGCUAUAGGGUUGGCCGAUGGCUGAUUAGCUAGUUGGUGGGGUAAAGGCCUACCAAGGCGACGAUCAGUAGCUGGUCUGAGAGGACGACCAGCCACACUGGGACUGAGACACGGCCCAGACUCCUACGGGAGGCAGCAGUGGGGAAUUUUGGACAAUGGGCGAAAGCCUGAUCCAGCAAUGCCGCGUGUGUGAAGAAGGCCUUCGGGUUGUAAAGCACUUUUGUCCGGAAAGAAAUCCUUGGCCCUAAUACGGUCGGGGGAUGACGAUACCGGAAGAAUAAGCACCGGCUAACUACGUG